ACGGUAACAGGAUGUGCUUGCACAUCGCUGACGAGUGGCGGACGGGUGAGUAAUGCUUGGGAACUUGCCUUUGCGAGGGGGAUAACAGUUGGAAACGACUGCUAAUACCGCAUAAUGUCUUCGGACCAAACGGGGCUUCGGCUCCGGCGCAGAGAGAGGCCCAAGUGAGAUUAGCUAGUUGGUAAGGUAAAGGCUUACCAAGGCGACGAUCUCUAGCUGUUCUGAGAGGAAGAUCAGCCACACUGGGACUGAGACACGGCCCAGACUCCUACGGGAGGCAGCAGUGGGGAAUAUUGCACAAUGGGGGGAACCCUGAUGCAGCCAUGCCGCGUGUGUGAAGAAGGCCUUCGGGUUGUAAAGCACUUUCAGUUGUGAGGAAAAGUUGGUAGUUAAUACCUGCCAGCCGUGACGUUAACAACAGAAGAAGCACCGGCUAACUCCGUGCCAGCAGCCGCGGUAAUACGGAGGGUGCGAGCGUUAAUCGGAAUUACUGGGCGUAAAGCGCACGCAGGCGGUUUGUUAAGCUAGAUGUGAAAGCCCCGGGCUCAACCUGGGAUGGUCAUUUAGAACUGGCAGACUAGAGUCUUGGAGAGGGGAGUGGAAUUCC
rnacentral:rRNA from 1 species